GUCUAUGGCCAUGCUACCCUGAACAAGCCCGAUCUCAUCUGAUCUCGGAAGCUAAACAGGGAGACCACCUAGGAAAACCAGGUGCUAUAGGUG
rnacentral:rRNA from 1 species